rnacentral:rRNA from 1 species
GACGAACGCUGGCGGCGUGCUUAACACAUGCCAGUCGAACGGAAAGGCCCCUUUGGGGGUACUCGAGUGGCGCACGGGUGAGUAACACGUGAGUAACCUGCCCUUGACUUCGGGAUAACUUCAGGAAACUGGGGCUAAUACCGGAUAGGAAUCCUUGCUGCAUGGUGGGGGUUGGAAAGCUUCGGCGGUUUUGGAUGGACUCGCGGCUUAUCAGCUUGUUGGUGGGGUAGUGGCUUACCAAGGCUUUGACGGGUAGCCGGCCUGAGAGGGCGACCGGCCACAUUGGGACUGAGAGACGGCCCAGACGCCUACGGGAGGCAGCAGUGGGGAAUAUUGCACAAGGGGCGGAAGCCUGAUGCAGCAACGCCGCGUGCGGGAUGACGGCCUUCGGGUUGUAAACCGCUUUCAGCAGGGGCGAAGCUUGUGGUGACGGUACCUGCAGAAGAAGCACCGGCUAACUACGUG